UUAUUUCCUAAAUCACCCUCAUUUUUCAUGUUAAAAAUGAAUGUUAAGGAUAAUUUGGAUAACUCAGCCAUUUUAGACUCAUUAAUUUCAAAACACUCCCUAUUAAUUAGCAGGCCUAUUUUUGUCUCCAGAUAUCCCCCAAAACAUUUGCAACGAAACAUUUUUCAUUCUUUUCAGACACUUGCCAAGAUAAGUUUGAUUGUACUAUUUUCCCCUGAGUUUUCAAAAAGAUGUCUUAUUUCUUACUAAACUUCUUUGUUAAAGCAGAGAUUUUUAUGUCAUUAUUUCAUAUUCAAAUCAAUCAUUAAAGUUGUCAUUGUAGGAAAAGGAUAGAUACUGAGAUCUGAGCUCUUCUAACUCCCUGUCUUGAUCAUUUGGCUAAUGCUCAUCCAAAAGAAAGAUUAUUUAUGUUUUAGAGACAAACAUUUAAAUGAACCAAUUAUGAGCAAUAUCUAAAUCUAAAGUUUAGCUAAGGACGCAUACAUGCACACAUACUCACAUAUAAAUACAUGUUUAUACUCUUUGAAUGGUGACAUAAAAACUGAAAAUUGAAGAGGAUUCCAUCAUUAGGUGAAUGAUUUGACAAUUUGAUAUAUUAAUGUGGUAGAAUAACAGUGUGCUUUUAGAAAUGAUAGAGAUGGUUUCAGAGAAAUUUAGGAAGACUUGUUUGAAUCUGAUGAAAAAUAAAGUGAGCAGUUAUAGAAAAACAAUUCAUAAAAUAACUAAGUUCAUAACCAGCUCUAACAUGUUAAUACAGAAUUAUAAUUACUUUUCUUUCUUCAUCACCAGGGGCAGCUGGAUGGAGUGUAGGCUUCAAAUCGGGGAGACAACUUCAAAUCCAUCCUCAGAAAAUAAUUACUCAUUGAUGUCUGUAAUUCACCAUGGCUUAAAACCAGCAUAAUCUAGUAGCCAAUCAUCCACUGAUAAAUGCCUCCAAAACAAGCUCACCUGAUCCUCAGGGAAAAGAGUGUUUGUUCUUCGGUUCCUACUCAAAGGUAUUCUAAGUUGAUACUACUUAUAAGUAAUUUGUUACUCUAGAAUAUCCAGAUGGUUAUCAAACAGUUUGUUUGAAAAAAGAAAUCUUAAUAUUUUAAUGGAGUAAAAGAUAAUAUUAAUCAAAAGUACCAUGUUCUGAACAAGACAUUUCAUGAGGGAACAACUGAAGAUUAAUUAGACUGUGAUAAGCUAGAAAUUGCAUAUACAGUCCAUAAUGUAUAUUUAUGUACAAAAGCACUUUAGGAUGUGGAAGUAAAAAGCAGGGUAUUAAUAAUACCUCCUAGGUACUCUAAAAACAAACCUAAGCCCCAAUGCUAAGUCAACUAUUGGCUCAUAACUUUAUUAUUCUUUUUCUUUUUCUCUUCAAGUUUAAGAAAGUAAUCUAGGAAUUUGUCUUUAAUUUACUUCAGAAAUUCAAAAAAUUCUCUCUAAGCAGUUCAUAAUGUCAAACUGCUAUAUAUGACCAGGGAGGUUUCAUAUCCUUUAAGUUAUCAUGAGACCAAAGUUCCAAAUUUAUGGGCUUAAAUAGAUAUUAUUAUUGUACAUGAGAACAGUGAGUAGCAUCAAUAAUAUCUCUCUACACAGAGAUACAUACAUAUCUAUACAAGUAUCUUUGAUCUAGUGAGACUCAUUUACCACCUCAUUUCAUGGUGUUUCUCUCCCCUAGCAAAACUUCUCCAUUGUUAUCCAAAUGCAAACCAUCUGCUAAUCUCCACCUCUUCUGUGUAAUGUAUUUAAACUACUGCAUUUAUUUUCUCUGAAUUGUAUAGAUACUUUGUAAAACACACAAAAAUAUCAUUAAAUAAAUGCCUGUAUUUUAUUCCUUUGGUAUUUUAG
ensembl:lncRNA